rnacentral:rRNA from 1 species
CUGGCGGCGUGCUUAACACAUGCAAGUCGAACGAUGAUGGUGGUGCUUGCACUGCCUGAUUAGUGGCGAACGGGUGAGUAACACGUGAGUAACCUGCCCUUCACUUCGGGAUAACCUCGGGAAAUCGAGGCUAAUACCGUAUAUGAGCUUCUGCCGCAUGGUGGGGGUUGUAAAGAUUUAUCGGUGAGGGAUGGACUCGCGGCCUAUCAGUUUGUUGGUGAGGUAAUGGCUCACCCAAGGCGAUGACGGGUAGCCGGCCUGAGAGGGCGACCGGCCACACUGGGACUGAGACACGGCCCAGACUCCUACGGGAGGCAGCAGUGGGGAAUAUUGCACAAUGGGCGAAAGCCUGAUGCAGCGACGCCGCGUGGGGGAUGACGGCCUUCGGGUUGUAAACCCCUUUCAGUAGGGAAGAAGCGAGAGUGACGGUACCUGCAGAAGAAGCGCCGGCUAACUACGUGCCAGCCGCCGC